ACGAGGCUCCGCCAAAAUCUCCUCUGGCUGGACAACCCGCCUGCGCUGCAACGCUGCCUCAACCUGCGAACCAAGCGAAUUAACGAAUGCGUGCCUCCUAAAACGCGUAAACCCCCGAGGCAGUAACCAAAGGAUCGACGCGGAUUUAAGGCUUUCAGCUCGGACCACCGCGAAAAGAAGCUCUCAGCUGGCCCAUGACUGGAUAACACUUGUCCAAAUGCAGACUCUUCUUGAAGGACACACAGACGUGGGAAAGCAGCGGAAGAGGCCACAGGCAGAGUUAGUGUUCAAGAGCUGAAGCAGCCUUCUAACCGUCCUUGUGAAUGUGUGUUCCCAGUGUUUGUCAAAAGAACUGGUAACUGGAAAUGACGAAGAAGAAGAAAUGCGUUGUAAUCCGCAAGAUUCUAAGAGGAACACGAGGAGCUGGGCUGAUUAAACCAAAUGACUUUC